CUGACGAGCGGCGGGACGGGUGAGUAAAUGCAUAGGAAUCUGCCCGAUAGUGGGGGAUAACCCUGGGGGAAACCCAGGCUAAUACCGCAUACGUCCUACGGGAGAAAGGGGGCUCCGGGCUCCCGCUAUGGGAUGAGCCUAUGUCGGAUUAGCUAGUUGGUGAGGUAACGGCUCACCAAGGCCACGAUCCGUAGCUGGUCUGAGAGGAUGAUCAGCCACAUCGGGACUGAGACACGGCCCGAACUCCUACGGGAGGCAGCAGUGGGGAAUAUUGGACAAUGGGGGCAACCCUGAUCCAGCCAUGCCGCGUGUGUGAAGAAGGCCCUCGGGUUGUAAAGCACUUUCAGCGAGGAAGAACGCCUAGCGGUUAAUACCCGCUAGGAAAGACAUCACUCGCAGAAGAAGCACCGGCUAACUCCGUGCCAGCAGCCGCGGUAAUACGGAGGGUGCAAGCGUUAAUCGGAAUUACUGGGCGUAAAGCGCGCGUAGGUGGCUUGAUAAGCCGGUUGUGAAAGCCCCGGGCUCAACCUGGGAACGGCAUCCGGAACU
rnacentral:rRNA from 1 species